UACAGAGGGGGCAAGCGUUGUUCGGAAUUACUGGGCGUAAAGCGCACGUAGGCGGAUUGUUAAGUUAGGGGUGAAAUCCCGGGGCUCAACUCCAGAACUGCCUUCGAUACUGGGAGUCUUGAGUCCGGGAGAGGUGAGUGGAACUGCGAGUGUAGAGGUGAAAUUCGUAGAUAUUCGCAAGAACACCAGUGGCGAAGGCGGCUCACUGGCUCGAUACUGACGCUGAGGUGCGAAAGCGUGGGGAGCAAACAGG
rnacentral:rRNA from 1 species